GUUUACAGUGUGAAUCCUUCAGUACGUCACAUAAACGAUUCACUCCUGUGUUUUUUAGUUCAUUCCAGCUGAGGUCCAGUUCUCUCAGGUGUGAAAGGUUUGAACACAGAGCUGAAGUCAGGAUGAGACACUGUUUCUCUGUAAUACUGCAUCUAUAAAGAUUGCGUGUGUUGAGUGUACAGUGUUUAUCCUGCA